CUUGGAUAUAAAGUCAUACAAAAGUACAUAUUCUGGCUCACUGCCAAAAAAACUACCCAGGGGUCCUCCUAGGUCAGCACAAAGAAGAAAUUGUCUCAGAUCCCUUCAAGUUUAUCCUCUUUAGUCCGAGGAUAUGCUGGUGGCUAAAAAGGAGUAUGUUGCCUGCAGCUGACAGCAAAAAUGUGAUCCAACAGAGAGCUGAAGCAAUACUGAGAUCAACAACAGUUUAACUAGGCCCCCUUAAGGUAUUGGAAGCUGUGAGGUCUCACAACCUUCUGUUCUCCAGGCUGAAUAUCCCCUACUUUCUCAGUAUGUCUUCACAGAAGUGUUCUUAUCCUACAGGAUUUUCAAGUUGCUAGGACUGCAGGCUGAAUUACACCUCAUUCAAUCAGAUUAUGUUCCAGACCUCAUUCAAUCAUCAGUCUCCUGGAGACUCUUGCCCAGAAGCUGGAAGAUUUCUUUAAGAGCAUCACUCAGUGCAGCUCCCCAGCUGAAGUCUGGCCAGUGCUGUGUAGGAUGAAGAGAUGAUCCUGCCAGUGCUGCAGACUAAUUUUCUAUUUUUUCACCUCAGUGCGAUGUUUUUCUUUUUUUGUAGUAUCAUGAUGUUGUUGACUCAUGUUCAGCUUGUGAUCCAUAGUAACUGCCAGCUCCUUUUUUUCAGAGCUGAUUAGUCAUCUGCCAUCCAGCACCUGUGCAGCUGACAGUCCUUAUCUAACUACAGUAAAUUCUGCACAUCUCCUUUGAAUAUUUUAUUUCUGUUGGACCGUGCCUCUGAUUUAUCAUGAUCAUUUUGAGUUCUAUAUCAGCCUUUCAAUAUGUUUUCAUAUCUGCAAAUGUGAUAAUCCCAGAGCAGAUAUGACAAUACUGAGUUGCAAUGGACUCCAGGUAUAUCCUGUGGGACUAUACAUGAUUCAUAGCUCCACCCUGAUAAAAGCUGCACGUAACUCCCCUGGUAUGGUUUGCCAGGCCAUUCUACACCCUUGGAUAGCAGCUUCUUGUAGUUCAUAUGUAUCCAGGUUAAGUGUUAUAAUGCCAUGUCCCACAAACUGAAAAUUGUACCAGCAUCAUAGAACCUGUUAUUGUCCACACAGAGUCAUUGGUGUUUGACUGAGGAAACAAACCCACCUGUGUAAACUCCGGUAAAAAUGGCAAAUAAUUUUAGACUGUAGAAGAUUUCAGGCAUUGAGGCAUUGAGGUACCAAGACAUAACGAAGAAAUAUUAGAAAGAAUAACGAAAAAAAAUAGCUUUAAAAUUAUCACUCAUUCUUAGCACUGACUCAACUUUCAUCACUUAACCUCCACUGCUCUGAUGCAAAAGUAAGACUGAAGUCUGGUAGAACCAAGCAGAGUGGUUGGUUCUACUGGACUUCAAUCGUGUUUUUGUGUAAGGUAGGUAGGAAAGCAAAGGUGUAGGUAAGGAAAUUUUGCUUUUCCAAUAGAAAUUCUUCAGCUUUGUAUACCAUUACAAUGUUCAGUUAGAGAAAAAUACAAUGAAGACGAUAAAAAACCAGGUGGGACUACAAAACAUGUUAUGGGAUGGAUCCAUGGUAGAAUGUAUGGAGAGAUUACAGAACCUGGAUGGAAAGGAGGAAUAGAUAUUAAAUGAACAAAUGUUAUAACUUUUUUGGAUAAAGGAGAUCUCCAGCAUAAUGCAGCAAGGUACUAGGGGAUUAUACCCAUUUUACAGAGAGAAGAAUGUUAUGCCAUGACUUGUCCUAUUGAAGUUGGCAGGAGUAUGGCAGGGGUGCCAAUAUUCCCAGUCUUUCCAUGAUGAAACUCCUGUUUCCUUCACAAAGUCCUGCACUGUCCUGAGUCUAUGUCUUUUCUCACUCUGCAAUUGCCAUGUAACACUUUGUGGUCUGCUCUUAGCACUUCAAAAGGCCAGCUGCUCCUUCAGAUCAUCAACUAGCUUUUUAUCUAUAAAUAGAGUGUAGCUACUGUCCCGGGGAGAUUCUGAGCUGGAAUAUAUUCAAAUAUAUUUGACAGGUUUUCUGGGUCUCACUCUUGGAUUUAAUAUAAAUUUUCGGAUAGGAUAAAAGUCAGCAGCACAUCCAAAUAUUCUUAAAGCAUCUUAUGACAAUGAUGAUUAUUCUAGUUUACAUACGCUUUCACUCAUUAAUGUGCUAGUACACAUUAAAUGCCUGUUUUCAAAAAGAAAAAAUAUGAACAGUCUCUUUUGCUGUGUAAAAAUUUGGACCUUUAGAGGACAUACAUGCCUUUUGUAUCCUUUUGUGUAUUGUAUCCAUAACCUUAUGCAACCCCUUGUUGAAACCCAAUGAGAAUGACAUGCAGUGAUAGUUUUGUCUCGAGCUCCAUAUCUUCCAGGCUUGAGUUUCCUGUGGUAGUGUGAGAAGAGACACAGCAGAUGGCAGUGCAUGACAUCAAUUAUCUCUGCUGCAUACUCCCAUUCGUUCCCAGUGGUAAUUGUCCAGGGCUGGUGAAAUUGCACCGGAGGGCACCCCCCACUCCCAAACGCCAUGUGGAGGAGAGGAGGACACUUUUGUGAACCAGUGCACUCUGAGGCAUCACUUUUGCUAGGUGGAUCAAGACUGCUGAAUCAGCCUGCCCCCAGAUCUAAGCAGCUUUAGCACUGGAAAGAGACUCUGAAGGCCUCCUACGUACAGACAGAUUGCAGCUUUCAGCAGAAGCCAGUCCCGGGGUAUUUCUGUUUUCACCCAUGCUUUUAUCUUCCACAACAUGAUUCAUGUUCUUAAUUGCUUUUCUGCUUCAAAACCUAGGCAAACUGCAUGUCAAAUUAAUUUUUUUCCAUAUAUCCUCAUAGUUAUGUUUUUGGGUGAAUGUUAGAGGACUUGUUCUAGGUGCUUUGUGACAUUUGAACUGAUAUUUGGCACAGAAAUAAUGAUGGCAUUAAAUGAAAAUUUCCUUA